AUACGUAGGUGACAAGCGUUAUCCGGAUUUACUGGGUGUAAAGGGCGUGUAGGCGGUUUGGCAAGUCAGAAGUGAAAUUCCCGGGCUUAACUUGGGCGCUGCUUCUGAAACUGCUUAACUUGAGUGCUGGAGAGGAUAGUGGAAUUCCUAGUGUAGCGGUAAAAUGCGCAGAUAUUAGGAGGAACACCGGUGGCGAAGGCGGCUAUCUGGACAGUAACUGACGCUGAGGCGCGAAAGCACGGGGAGCAAACAGGAUUAGAUACCCUGGUAGUCCGUGCCGUAAACGAUGAAUACUAGGUGUAGGGGGUAUCGACUCCCUCUGUGCCGCAGUUAACACAUUAAGUAUUCCACCUGGGGAGUACGGCCGCAAGGUUGAAACUCAAAUGAAUUGACGGGG
rnacentral:rRNA from 1 species